CAACUUUGACCAGUGUUUUCAUAGUAAACAAGAAUCAUCCGUGUCCCGUCCGCCAUGACAGAUGUUCCUUUUCUUUGUGAACGUUCGGUAAACGUGCCACCUUUUUCGUGAAUUCUGGAGUGUUAAGUGAAAUUAAAUAUGUAUGAAAUAGUCGAAUAUCAUUUCCAACCAUUUUCUCCCACAAAAACCGUUGCAGCUUGUGGUGCAGGCAACAAACCAUUCCUCAGAUCCUUCGGAACCAAGGCAAUGAAGGCGUGAGACCAACAAGUGUUUACGUGUAGUUUUCGUGAGAAUAAUCUGAGCAGGCAACAUUUACAACGGUGGCCAGUGGAUUAUUUUCGAGGGGCGCUAACCCAUUUCCAUUCCAGAGAUGAUGGACCAGUAUCUAAGAGAUGUUUCUGUAAAGUGAUAUUAUGAAUCUGUACGAAAAACUACUUAAUGUAAAGUUGCAGGCCUUGGAAUCAAUAAAUUCGAAUUGAAUGCGUUUCAA